UACGGAGGGGAGCUAGCGUUGUUCGGAAUUACUGGGCGUAAAGGGCGCGUAGGCGGAUUGUACAGUCAGGCGUGAAAUUCCCGGGCUCAACCUGGGGGCUGCGCUUGAGACGUGCGAUCUUGAGUGGGGAAGAGGGUCGUGGAAUUCCCAGUGUAGAGGUGAAAUUCGUAGAGUAUUGGGAAGAACACCGGUGGCGAAGGCGGCGACCUGGUCCUUGACUGACGCUGAGGCGCGAAAGCGUGGGGAGCAAACAGG
rnacentral:rRNA from 1 species